GCUCAGUAGUCUAGUGAAUAGGACGCCUGUCUAGAGAUCAGGAGGUCGUGGGUUCGAACCCCCCUCCGAGUA
rfam:Strongylocentrotus purpuratus Contig131765_fixed, whole genome shotgun sequence.